GACGAACGCUGGCGGCGUGCUUAACACAUGCAAGUCGAACGGAAAGGCCCUGCUUUUGCGGGUUGCUCGAGUGGCGAACGGGUGAGUAACACGUGAGUAACCUGCCCUUGUCUUUGGGAUAACUUCUGGAAACUGGGGCUAAUACCCGAUAGGAGCUCCUGCUGCACGGUGUGGGUUGGAAAGUUUCGGCGGUUGGGGAUGGUCUCGCGGCUUAUCAGCUUGUUGGUGGGGUAGUGGCAUACCAAGGGUUUGACGGGUAGCCCACCUGAGAGGGUUGCCGGCCACAUUGGGCCUGGGGGACGGCCCAGACUGCUACGGGCGGCAGUAGUGGGGAAUAUUGCACAAGGGGCGGAAGCCAGAGGUAGCAACGCCGGGUGCGGGAAGCCGGCCUUCGGGUUGUAAACCGCUUUCGCCUGUGACGAGGCGUGAGUGACGGUAAUGGGUAAAGAAGCACCGGCUAACUACGUG
rnacentral:rRNA from 1 species